rnacentral:lncRNA from 1 species
AUUGACCUCUUGUAACCAUCACAUCUCUCUGUAUGCUUUCCCAUUGAAGUAGUUCCACCACCAAACUUAAUGAGUGUUGGGAAGUAUUUGCAUUUUGCUUUCUUUUCUAUAUGACAUUCUACCGUGAAAUGAUCCCAUGACUCCGAACGAUUCUUAUGCUUCUUAGAAUUCGGAGGUUGCAUUGCACUAUUUGACAUUGCGGGUGGAGGUGUAGACACCGUACGCUCUGAUGUUGCGGAUGUUUGAAGAUUACCAUCACUUGUCAUCUUGUGAUGAUUCUAUAAACAUAAAAUAAG